CCUACGGGGGGCAGCAGUAGGGAAUAUUGCUCAAUGGAGGAAACCCUGACGCAGCAACGCCGCGUGGAGGAUGAAGGUUUUAGGAUUGUAAACUUCUUUUGUUAGAGAAGAUUAUGACGGUAUCUAACGAAUAAGCACCAGCUAACUCCGUGCCAGCAGCCGCGGUAAUACGGAGGGUGCAAGCGUUACUCGGAAUCACUGGGCGUAAAGAGUGCGUAGGCGGGGUAAUAAGUCAGAUGUGAAAUCCUGUGGCUUAACUACAGAACUGCAUUUGAAACUGUUACUCUGGAGUGUGGGAGAGGUAGGUGGAAUUCUUGGUGUAGGGGUAAAAUCCGUAGAGAUCAAGAGGAAUACUCAUUGCGAAGGCGACCUGCUGGAACAUUACUGACGCUGAUGCACGAAAGCGUGGGGAGCAAACAGGAUUAGAUACCCUUGUAGUC
rnacentral:rRNA from 1 species